GCUCCCGUAGCUCAGCUGGAUAGAGCGCAACGUUGCGGACGUUGAGGUCGAAGGUUCGACUCCUUUCGGGAGCG
rnacentral:tRNA from 1 species